ACAAAACAAAAAGUUUCCCAGCAAAGUUCUCUGCUGCAGGCUGGUCAUCAGUCUUUGAGUGACCAGACAUGAGAUCCGUGGUGCGUAUGAGAGCAUCACAACCACAGUGAGUCUGAGGAAGCCCUCGUCUAAGACCAUGAGAGAGCCAGUGUUGAACUUUCCAUCUUCCUGCCUCAGCCUGGUGGGAUUAUUGGUGUGCACCACCAUGGCCAGCAUUCACUUGGCCAUCUCUUCAUUCUGAGACUGGGAUUCACUUCACAAGGUCCACCUCCAAGAAUUAGAAGACCAUGGUAAAUGCACUAAGAAUGAAAAUCACAAGAGCAAGCACACAAGAAGAAAAUUUCAGAGCAUAUUAGAAAAGAAAGAAGCCCAUUGAGCUAUAAACCAGUGCCUGCCACGUUGCUGGAAGGAUUUCAAGAAAUAUCAUCCCUGGGCCUCACUCCAGUUUAACUGAAAAUGCAUUUCUGAGGGACACUGAGGAAGCCACAAGAGUGCAACAAAUUAGAAGACACUCACAAAAGAGGACUUCCAGAACUGCUUCAGAAAGUGACAAGAAAGAUGGGAUAAGUGUACU